GAGGGUAUAGCUCAGUGGUACAGUGCAUGCUUAACAUGCAUGAGGUCCUGAGUUCAAUCCCUAGUACCUCUG
rnacentral:tRNA from 1 species